GAUCCCUUGAGAACAAAAGCGAGUGAGUGAGUCUCAUGGGCAUGCAGACGCUGACCCUCUUUGGCUCCCCCCACCCUAUUUCUCAAAACGCUGUCGUUCCCCGCCACGCCAUGUCCCGCUCCUCCGAAACCUCCUUUCCCACCCUCACUACUAUCUCCAUCUCUUUCUCUCAACUCCAAGAUAAGAACGCCGACUUGUCAUUCAAGAUUGAAGAAGGCUUUGGACCCAAUGGAUUGGGGAUUCUAUCCGUCACUGAUGUUCCAGGAUACUCUUCAUUGCGCAGAAAUCUAUUGCAUCUUGCACCAAGAUUGGCAAAUCUUCCCAAAGAAGUGAAGGAGGAUCUUGAAGAUCCUCACAGUAGGUAUAAUUUUGGUUGGAGUCAUGGGAAAGAGAAACUUGAAUCUGGGAAGCCAGAUAUUUUAAAAGGAUCUUUCUAUGCCAAUCCCAUACUUGAUACACCUACAACAGAGGCUUCUUUGAUACAACGGUAUCCAUCAUAUUGCAGAUCAAACAUAUGGCCUAGAAACGCUUUACCAGAACUUGAAGUGGCUUUCAAAGCACUUGGGAAACUGAUAUUUGACAUUGGAUUGAUGUUGGCAUAUCACUGCGAUCAAUAUGUAUCCAAAGGGAUGAAAAUUCACAAGGAUGAAGGUCUGGAAUCAAUACUUCAUCGCUCCCGCUGUCAUAAAGGACGUUUGCUAUAUUAUUUUCCUUCACAACAGGGAGUCCCAGAUGGCAACUCUUUGUCUUCUUGGUGUGGAUGGCAUACUGACCACGGUUCACUGACAGGUCUGACUUGCAGUAUGUUUACGAGAGAUGGUGUAGAAAUUGCUUGCCCUGAUAGUGCUGCUGGCCUCUAUAUUCGAACAAGAAAUAAUCAAAUUGUCAAAGUUGUCUAUGGAAAAGAUGAUAUAGCAUAUCAAAUUGGUGAAACCACUGAAAUACUUUCUGGAGGUUAUCUUUGUGCAACACCUCAUUGUGUUCAGGCUCCUAAGGGGGAGGAGUCCUCUGGUAUUGAGCGCUCGACAUUUGCGUUAUUCAUGCAGCCUGACUGGGAUGAAAAGCUCAAUUUUCCCGAGGAAGUUCACAUUCAUAAAGAGGUUCCACCCAAUAAGUAGGUUUUUUCUACAUAACCUCUGAAUUUACUGGAUGGUGGGACCGGAGAAUAUUUCAUGUUUAACAACUACAAUCCAUCUCACCUUGAAAUCUGUGAACCUAGCAUUCUGCAUGGUAUUAUGUCGGCAUCUAGAUGAUACGGCCCGAACCUGCUGCCUCCUUGGUAUUAAAAGAGGUAAGCCGCAUUUCUAAAGUCAAGAACGGGCUUAUGGGCUGAACUUUUAUCAUUUUUUUCCAGCUUAUUCCAUCAAAUGCUGCCCUUACUUUUGGAGAGUAUUCAGAGAUGCUGCUCGACAAAUAUUACCACCAAAAACAGAACUAACUUGUUACUUCUCUGCCAACAAGCAUAACUGGUUGAAGAGACUUAGCUUGUUAAUUCAUGAGACUAAAAUAAAAUUGUGUGAAUGUGUAGUCGCUAUUGGAUAAUAGCAAAAGAAAAGGAUAACUGGGUAAGGUUACAAGUGUAACUGGUUGAAGAGACUUAGCCUGUUAAUUCACGGGUUAAUGUGUAGUCGCUAUUGGGUAAUAGCAAAAGAAAAAGAAAAUUCUUAUAGAUUACGUGGAAUAGCAACAUGAUUCCCCGGGGACAGAAAUAUAGCCCAUUUAAUUUAGUUAACAGGAUAUUAACUCAUGGGAUGGAAUGAAAGUUACUGUACAAUCCAAUACUUAUGUUCUUUUUCUUUAAUGGGAAGUAAAGCAAUGAUAUCGCCUACUUGUGAUGGAUUUAA